CUGUACCAGUGGCAGUGUUGGUAGUACCAAUGUGAAAAUGCUGUGCUGAAUAACCACUCAGCACAGCAUUUUCACAUUGGUACUAGCAGAAACUCGACGU